UACGGAGGGAGCUAGCGUUAUUCGGAAUUACUGGGCGUAAAGCGCACGUAGGCGGCUUUGUAAGUAAGAGGUGAAAGCCCAGAGCUCAACUCUGGAAUUGCCUUUUAGACUGCAUCGCUUGAAUCAUGGAGAGGUCAGUGGAUUCCGAGUGUAGAGGUGAAAUUCGUAGAUAUUCGGAAGAACACCAGUGGCGAAGGCGGCUGACUGGACAUGUAUUGACGCUGAGGUGCGAAAGCGUGGGGGAGCAAACAGG
rnacentral:rRNA from 1 species